UACAGAGGUCUCAAGCGUUGUUCGGAUUCAUUGGGCGUAAAGCGUCUGUAGGUGGCUUUUCAAGUCCGCCGUCAAAUCCCAGGGCUCAACCCUGGACAGGCGGUGGAAACUGCCAAGCUGGAGUACGGUAGGGGCAGAGGGAAUUUCCGGUGGAGCGGUGAAAUGCGUAGAGAUCGGAAAGAACACCAACGGCGAAAGCACUCUGCUGGGCCGACACUGACACUGAGAGACGAAAGCUAGGGGAGCGAAUGGG
rnacentral:rRNA from 1 species